UACGAAGGGGGCUAGCGUUGCUCGGAAUGACUGGGCGUAAAGGGCGCGUAGGCGGUUUGUACAGUCAGGUGUGAAAUUCCCGGGCUCAACCUGGGGGCUGCACUUGAUACGUAGGAACUGGAGUGGGGAAGAGGGUCGUGGAAUUCCCAGUGUAGAGGUGAAAUUCGUAGAUAUUGGGAAGAACACCCGUGGCUAAGGCGGCUCUCUAGUACGGUACUGACGCUGAGACGCGAAAGCGUGGGGAGCGAACAGG
rnacentral:rRNA from 1 species